GACGAACGCUGGCGGCGUGCCUAAUACAUGCAAGUCGAACGCAGUGGGGACGGGUGAGUAACACGUGGGUAACCUCCCAUCAGAGGGGAUAACACUGGGAAACUGGUGCUAAACCGAUAUUGGUGGAUGGACCCGCGGUGCAUUAGCUAGUUGGUGAGGUACCGGCUCACCAAAGCCACGAUGCAUAGCCGGGCUGCGAGGUCGAUGGGCACCAAUGGAACUGUCACACGGCCCGUACUCCUGCGUGUGGCAGAGAUAGAGGGUAGUCGGCAAGGAAGGAAAGUCUGACCUAGCAACUCCUCGUUAGUGAAGAAGGUUUUCGGUUCGUACAACUCUGUUGUUAGAGAUGCGGUAUCUAACCAGAAAGCCACGGCUUACUACGUGCCAGCCGCCGCGGUAAUUC
rnacentral:rRNA from 1 species